rnacentral:SRP_RNA from 1 species
GCCGGGCACGGUGGCACAUGCCUGUAGUCCCAGCUACUCGGGAGGCUGAGGUGGGAGGAUCACUUGAGCCCAGGAGUUCUGGGCUGUAGUGAGCUAUGCCGAUCAGGUGUCUGCACUAAAUUCAGCAUCAAUAUGUUGGCCUCCUGGGAGCGGGGGACCACCAGGUUGCCUAAGGAGGGGUGAACCGGCCCAGGUCGGAAACGGAGCAGGUCAAAACUCCUGUGCUGAUCAGUAGUGGGAUCGUGCCUGUGAAUAGCCACUGCACUCCAGCCUGGGCAACAUAGUGAGACCCCCAUCUCU